rnacentral:rRNA from 1 species
UACGUAGGGUGCAAGCGUUAAUCGGAAUUACUGGGCGUAAAGCGUGCGCAGGCGGUUUUGUAAGGCUGACGUGAAAUCCCCGGGCUCAACCUGGGAAUUGCGUUGGAGACUGCAAGGCUAGAAUCUGGCAGAGGGGGGUAGAAUUCCACGUGUAGCAGUGAAAUGCGUAGAUAUGUGGAGGAACACCGAUGGCGAAGGCAGCCCCCUGGGUCAAGAUUGACGCUCAUGCACGAAAGCGUGGGGAGCAAACAGG